rnacentral:rRNA from 1 species
AGAGUUUGAUCCUGGCUCAGGAUGAACGCUGGCGGCGUGCCUAAUACAUGCAAGUCGAACGCUUCACUUCGGUGAAGAGUGGCGAACGGGUGAGUAAUACAUAAGUAACCUGGCAUCUACAGGGGGAUAACUGAUGGAAACGUCAGCUAAGACCGCAUAGGUGUAGAGAUCGCAUGAACUCUAUAUGAAAAGUGCUACGGGACUGGUAGAUGAUGGACUUAUGGCGCAUUAGCUUGUUGGUAGGGUAACGGCCUACCAAGGCGACGAUGCGUAGCCGACCUGAGAGGGUGACCGGCCACACUGGGACUGAGACACGGCCCAGACUCCUACGGGAGGCAGCAGUAGGGAAUUUUCGGCAAUGGGGGAAACCCUGACCGAGCAACGCCGCGUGAAGGAAGAAGUAAUUCGUUAUGUAAACUUCUGUCAUAGAGGAAGAACGGUGGAUAUAGGGAAUGAUAUCCAAGUGACGGUACUCUAUAAGAAAGCCACGGCUAACUACGUGCCAGCAGCCGCGGUAAUACGUAGGUGGCGAGCGUUAUCCGGAAUUAUUGGGCGUAAAGAGGGAGCAGGCGGCACUAAGGGUCUGUGGUGAAAGAUCGAAGCUUAACUUCGGUAAGCCAUGGAAACCGUAGAGCUAGAGUGUGUGAGAGGAUCGUGGAAUUCCAUGUGUAGCGGUGAAAUGCGUAGAUAUAUGGAGGAACACCAGUGGCGAAGGCGACGAUCUGGCGCAUAACUGACGCUCAGUCCCGAAAGCGUGGGGAGCAAAUAGGAUUAGAUACCCUAGUAGUCCACGCCGUAAACGAUGAGAACUAAGUGUUGGAGGAAUUCAGUGCUGCAGUUAACGCAAUAAGUUCUCCGCCUGGGGAGUAUGCACGCAAGUGUGAAACUCAAAGGAAUUGACGGGGGCCCGCACAAGCGGUGGAGUAUGUGGUUUAAUUCGACGCAACGCGAAGAACCUUACCAAGACUUGACAUUGAUUGAAAGACUUAGAGAUAAGUCCCUUCUCUUCGGAGAACAAGAAAACAGGUGGUGCAUGGCUGUCGUCAGCUCGUGUCGUGAGAUGUUGGGUUAAGUCCCGCAACGA